rnacentral:rRNA from 1 species
AGUAAAAGUCGUAACAAGGUUUCCGUAGGUGAACCUGCGGAAGGAUCAUUACCCAUGGCUUUUUUGCCGUAAUGCAUAGCGGCCGUUGCACGAAAGCAAGACACUCCGCCUCACCUUCGUGCUAGUGCACGAAAGAAGGUAGUGGAUACGAGGAUCCCCAGUGCUGUAAUAGCUAUUCGUAGCUACCCCCCGUCUCGUAGUAGCCCCACCAGGUUCUGUCUGUUAGUAGGCUCCCGAAGCCCAUGCAUUAUACCCUUGUCUUUUGCGUACUACUUGUUUCCUCGGCAGGCUUGCCUGCCGAUUGGACAUUUUAAACUCUUUUUUUGUAAUUGCAAUCAGCGUCUGAAUAAACUAUAAUAGUUACAACUUUCAACAACGGAUCUCUUGGUUCUGGCAUCGAUGAAGAACGCAGCGAAAUGCGAUAAGUAGUGUGAAUUGCAGAAUUCAGUGAAUCAUCGAAUCUUUGAACGCACAUUGCGCCCCUUGGUAUUCCAUGGGGCAUGCCUGUUCGAGCGUCAUUUGAACCUUCAAGCUUUGCUUGGUGAUGGGUGUUUUGUCCUCUUCUUAAGUAUCUGGACUCGCCUUAAAAUUAUUGGCAGCCGGCACAUGGGCCUUUGGAGCGCAGCACAUUUUGCGAUCUAAGCCCGCGUUCUAGCGAACCAUUAAGCAUAUUUCAUCACGUUUGACCUCGGAUCAGGUAGGGAUACCCGCUGAAGA